rnacentral:rRNA from 1 species
AUUGAACGCUGGCGGCAGGCCUAACACAUGCAAGUAGAGCGAGCGGCGGACGGGUGAGUCAUGUCUGGGAAACUGCCAGAUGGCGGGGGAUAACUACUGGAAACGGUAGCUAAUACCGCAUACCAUCAGAUGUGCCCAGCUGGGAAUAGGUAGUAGGUGCGGUAAUGGCUCACCUAGGCGACGAUCCCUAGCUGGACUGAGAGGCUGACCGGCCACACUGGAACUGAGACACAGUCCAGACUCCUAGGGAAGGGAGAAGUGGGGAAUUGUGCACAAUGGGCGAAAGCCUGAUGCAGCCAUGCGGCGAGUGGGAAGAAGGCCUUCGGGUUGUAAAGCACUUUCAGCGGGGAGGCGUUACCCGGAGAAGAAGCACCGGCUAACUCCGUGCCAGCAGCCGCGGUAAUAC